UAGGUUUCACUGUAUUCAGACGUAAAGAGAUGGAGAAUUACCUUCAUGAAUUAAACAACAUCUUUGUCUUCAGAGUAAGCUGUGGCUCGGAAGAGAAGGAUGGGGGAAAAAUGGAAAGAGAUCUCUGAGCGUUUAGAAGACGUGUUUCCUGUGUAGCAGCAGACCAGGCAGGAAUACAGAGCCUUCUUAGAGGAGUGGAUGUGAAACAUGGAUGAAGAGACACAACUGCCCAAAAUAUCCUGUGCAGAAAGUGGAG
ensembl:lncRNA